rnacentral:rRNA from 1 species
UACGUAUGUCCCGAGCGUUAUUCGGAUUUAUUGGGCGUAAAGCGAGCGCAGGUGGUUUCUUAAGUCUGAUGUAAAAGGCAGUGGCUCAACCAUUGUGUGCAUUGGAAACUGGGAGACUUGAGUGCAGGAGAGGAGAGUGGAAUUCCAUGUGUAGCGGUGAAAUGCGUAGAUAUAUGGAGGAACACCGGAGGCGAAAGCGGCUCUCUGGCCUGUAACUGACACUGAGGCUCGAAAGCGUGGGGAGCAAACAGG